UUUAAUAUGGCAGAAUAGUGCAAUGAACUUAAAAUUCAUAUAUAAAGUUUUAACUUUUAUUAAAA
rnacentral:tRNA from 1 species